rnacentral:rRNA from 1 species
CCUACGGGAGGCAGCAGUGAGGAAUAUUGGUCAAUGGGCGCGAGCCUGACCCAGCAACGCCGCGUGAAGGAAGAAGGCUUUCGGGUUGUAAACUUCUUUUCUGGGGGACGAACAAAUGACGGUACCCCAGGAAUAAGCCACGGCUAACUACGUGCCAGCAGCCGCGGUAAUACGUAGGUGGCAAGCGUUAUCCGGAUUUAUUGGGUGUAAAGGGCGUGUAGGCGGGAAUGCAAGUCAGAUGUGAAAACUAUGGGCUCAACCCAUAGCCUGCAUUUGAAACUGUAUUUCUUGAGUGCUGGAGAGGCAAUCGGAAUUCCGUGUGUAGCGGUGAAAUGCGUAGAUAUACGGAGGAACACCAGUGGCGAAGGCGGAUUGCUGGACAGUAACUGACGCUGAGGCGCGAAAGCGUGGGGAGCAAACAGGAUUAGAUACCCCUGUAGUC